rnacentral:lncRNA from 1 species
ACUGCCAAUGUCUCCCUUUUCCGAAUUCCCACAGCUCUCACAGUUUACGCUGGACAGCCUAACCCUGGGUUUUUAUGCUGUCACCUGUUAUGUGUUUUUUGUUCUUAUCUCUCCUAAAGACUAGGAACCACACAACUGAUAACUGAGAAACUUCUCCCCCCCACCCCUUUUCUGAAAACACAAUCUCCUCUGGGGGUUGUUGGCCGCUCAUGGUUCUCCACAUGAUGGAGAGAUGUGAGUUGCUGUUGACCCGGUUUCCAGCCCUGGCUCUGUGACUGAUGGAUGGCACUGGACGAGUGAGGGCUGAAUCUCAUAGACCCCAGAUCCCUGUCGCUAAGAGGGAAUGACAGGACUGACUUGCUUCGCUGAGAGAAGUGUCAUAUGCAUUAACGGGCUAAUGAUGCUAAUGCUCUUUGAGAAUACAAAUGUGAAACAUUAUCAUUAUGGUUAAUGCUAGUCUUCAGUUUUUAAAUUUUUUUCCUCAAAGGGGAGACGCAGAAAGAUUAUUUAAAGAAAUAGUGAAUAGAAGGCUGCAGUUUGUGCUUAAUUCAUGACUGACUUUGAUCAGAACGGCAUAAGCCGUGGGAAUGCCGUCUUGCAGUCCGGAAGGUGCUGAAUACGUGUUCAUUGGCUCUGCUGAAUUAGAUAAAUCCUCAGGAACACACCCAUGUUCCCAAUGGAAAGACAAGUUACUCUGUCAACAGCAGCAAGUGACAGAAAAAUCUAAGAGUCAUUCCCUGGGAUCCUAAUAGAAGAUCCAGUAUAAUGGAGCAGGUAGGAGUGAAGGCUCUGGAACUCUGCGAUCUUGGAUAAGUUAACCUUCUGGGGCCU